rnacentral:tRNA from 1 species
GGUGGCUCAGUGGUAGAGUGCUUGCCUUACAAGCACAAGGCCCUGGGUUCAAUUCCUCAGCACCA